GGGGCGAGACGAGUCGGUACGAAUGAGAUUUAAGGCGAACCAACCCUGGGUGAAUAGGACUAAGAGCGAAACAGUGCAGAGUUCGAAAUGGUUUUAGGGCGAACCGACCCGGAUUCAUAGGUUCUGUCACAGUUGGAAACAGAAAACAUAACAGCAUCAAGCUUGAAGUAUAAUUGAAUCUACUGAAUUUUGUCUCAUAACCACGUGUACUCUCCCACUCCGUUUCCAUUUCAGGUUUCUCCAUAGACGCACAGAGACUACAAAUUUCCUGGAAUAAAGAAAAAUACCCAUUAUGA